rnacentral:lncRNA from 1 species
AUGCUGUCUUUAGAGCUGCAGCCUGUAAUCUUACACUUUUAAUGUUGUACAAAAGCGAAAAAUAUAAACAAUGUGCAAAAUAUUAGAUACUGAAAACUAAGAGUAAAAGUCUUUAUAUUAUCACCGAAUACAUUUACAAAACGUGAAGGCUUCUAAAAUCAGGGUUCUGACCUCGUUUGUGAUCGUUCAAAAACACUUCCACGUCAAGCAGAUCAGGGUUCUAGGAACUCACGCAGAGUAUCGCGACACUUCACGAGAUCACGCUCUGGAAGCAGGUGAUUUGUUAUUUCAAAGUUUGAAACCUGCAACGAGGAUCUUCAGCGUCAAAUUCUCACCGUUUACAAGGAUUAUGGAGCCUUAAAACUCCAACCAUUACUGUUGCAACAAAAAUGAAGAGCAACAUCAGAGCAAUCAGCCGUCCAGCUUUGACUAGAUUCCA